ensembl:lncRNA TMC3-AS1 TMC3 antisense RNA 1
GUCUCAGAACUGUGGCCCAUUCACCCCUUCCCUCAAGACAAGAGUGUGGCCAAGCAUCAAUCUCACCCCCAGAGACCAGACGGUGUCCAGGUCUUGGGCAGACGAAACCUGCUCCUUGGGGAUGGUCUUCCUGGCUGUGCUUCCAAAGGGCUGGCCUGCAAUCAGCUGGUUUUCACUUGAUCCUUUCGGGGUUUGCAUUAUAUCUGACUGAAGGAAUGAACUGGGAGAGAACAGCAGAGCCGCAGCGGAAUGUGGAAAGGCCCACGUCCAGACUGUUCCCAUUCUGAUUUAAAAGCCUGAUGAAGGAACAGCUGAACUCAGAGAAACAGCAGGUGAAAAGCCUUUCUACUCUGUGUUCUCCAAUUCAUCCUAAAAUCAAGACCAAGGUAGAAUUCUCGAACUUGGCCUAUUCUGAAAAAAAUGGACAUGGCUGGGACAGAGAGCUUGUGUGAAUAUUCCCAAUUGUGAACAUGGAAGCUAUAAAUUGAGGUGUCAGAACCACAAGAUGGAAGUACGUUGGAUUUCUGAGUCACCACCUGGAGGAGAGCUUCCCUGCAGCAUUGCUGGAAUCUGAUGUGAACUAGAUAUUCAUCUUGAUCGUGUUGACUUGAACCUAAUUCAGGCCUAAGACAUAAUAUAUACUGCAUAAUAUAUGCCGUAUAAUGAUAAUAUAUUUAUGCAGCCUUUAUUGAUAUGAGUAGUGGUUUAUCUCAGUUUUAUAAUAAAAAUCUCUCAAAGAACAUUGACUCCAAGGAAUAACAAUCACAAAAGGAUUACAGCUUUGUUUAACACUUUCUGCAAAUCCUUGAAGCUGAUCUUUCCUGUUGUUUCUAAUCCCAAUAGCCAGCCUAAACCUUUUGGUGUAAUCUCAUGUAUUCUGACCUCUGUUAUUUCCUGCUGCUUAAUGAUCUUUCUAUAAAUUGUAUGGGAAAUGAAGCAAAUGUAAUUACAGUGUCUGCCAGCCCUGAUGCAGAUAAAUAGGUGGGAGUCUGGCCAAGUGUCUCCCCAAGCUAGCCUUUGGUGUCUUUCACUCACAGCAGAAAGAAAUAGGUCAUAAAUUACAGCACUGAUUUGUUCCAAUGAUAUCAUUAGCUCCUGGAAAACAAGGAUCAUGAAAAACCCAUUUCAAAUGAACAUAUGAGUCAAUACCAACCAAGCAUCUUUUGGAAAAGAGCCCUUAUAAAUUCAUACUAGAAUUCUGACUCCUAAGUGAAUAUCUCUGGAUCUUCAGAACAUAGAAGACUUAGCUCCAGCCCAUGCAUCAGUCCCUUCAGACCAUAGAGUCAUAACCAGGCCUAUUGAAAGAGCUGGUUACAUGAGACAGUCAGAGAUUUACCUAGGUGAGAAAAUAAAGAUUAGAUGGUUUGAAGCAGAGUUCUAGCCCUUCCAAAUCAGACCUCCAACCCCUUUCUUAAUUCUAUAGUUUGUAGUUUUCAAAGGAGAAGUUGUAAUAAAGAGUAAGUAAACUAACUUCUUUUUUUCUUAUGGUUUUUGUUUGAUAAUAUGAGGAUAAAAGCAUACCCUUUUUUGACCUAUCCCAGGAUAAAAUGCAGGUGGAGAAAAGGUUUUCCGUAUUGUCUUUAGCCUUGACACAACAAAAUAGGAAAAGAUAUUUUCCGAUCUGGGUUGAGUAGAUGCAAAGAAGUGUUUUAAGGUACAUCUGUAGAGCACACUCAGCACUUGGGGACUCAGGUGCCUCAAGAGAAGCUAGAGACCUAAUGUAGGGAUAUAGAGGCCAGGAGGACACACUGGAACACAGAAGAUGACAGCUUUUGAAAGAGCUCAAGAUUCUAAUUUCUUGAACCAGAGGACAGAUUCUCCUCUAUGUCCGUUCACACUUUCAGACUUUACUCUGCAUUAGCCCUCUGUUCCCCACACCUGCUUCUGGACCCCUGGGUGGUUACACACUCUGACUUCAUCAACCCUUAUCCUUAUUGUAGGGAUAUGAAAUUUAAAAUUGGCAUCUUCCACAGCCAAUUCUGGUCACUAUUCUUGUUACUUUAACUGAUAUGCAAUAAAGAAUAUGCCUGACUUUGUCCCUGGUUCCUGGGAAGUAGCAUCAAAACCUUUAGAAUUUCUUAAGUGGUAGGAGUGUCUAUUAUUCAUGGUGAACUCCUGGGAUCAAACUUGAUAGUCUGUGCUAAAGAGAUGACUCAGGACAGGAGCUGGCUGCUCCUGCCAGAAAGACCAACCAUGUGAUUAGAGGGUGGGGCUUUGAGCCAGGUGAUAUCAGCUCAGUCUCCAGGGAGCCAAGGGGAGCUAGAGAUUGAAUUCAACUGCAAGGCCAAAGAUUCCAUCAGUCAUGAUUGUGUAAUGAUACCUCAAUAAAAACUCUGGGCAGCAAAGCUCAGUUGAGCUUCACAGGUUGUUAAUAUUCUGAUAAUGUCACACAUUGAUAUGCCAGGAAGGUAAUGCAUCCUUACUCUUUGGGGAUAGAACAACAGAAGCUUUGUGUUGAACUCCCCUAGACCUCAUUAUAUGUGUAUCUCUUUCCCUUUGGCUGGUUCUGAUGUGUAUCCUUUUGCUGUAAUAAGACUACAACUGUAAUUUAUAGGACUUUCUUGAGUUCCAUGAGUCAUUUUAGUGAAUUAUUAAUCCUGAGGGGGUUAUGGGAACCACCAAAUUUGUAGCAAGCUGGUCAGGAGUAAGAGUGGCCUGUGAGCCUUUGAACUUGUGUCUGAUGUCUUUAGUUUGUGUAGUCUUGUGGAAAACUGUGUCCCUAACCUGUAAAGUAACUGGUGUCAAAAGUCAGUGAAACUAGGCAUAAUUAGAACUCAUGGACAUUCACACCCAUUCCACUUCAGUCACAUGCUUCCGAGGCCUCACUGAGUUCCUUUUACACAUCUAUCUUCUCUACUUUGGUUCUUAUUCCGUAUGAUGGCAAAAAGAAAUACAACUGGACUCUAAGAUGAUGGUGACUCAUG